UGGGAUGUCGCCAAGUGGUAAGGCUCCAGAUUUUGAUUCUGGCAUCCGCAAGUUCGAGUCUUGCCAUCCCAG
rnacentral:tRNA from 1 species